GGCAUCUGAGCGCCGGCUCCGCGGAGGCGUCUCUUGCAAUUGCUGGGAAAUAGGAAUGAGAGUUUUAAGGCUGUUUUAACAACCAAAUCAGAUUAAAUAAAUUAACAUGUUUAAAUUGUUAUCAAUUGUUCCUUCAGUUGCUUUAGGACGAUUGGAGAGGAGCCUCGGUCCACAAGACCGGAAGCCUGAGGAGUGCAGCUUUGUCCCCAAGGUCACAGUGACUGGCUUUCUGCUGCCGGCUGUAAAGCACAUGCGGACCGAAACCCCCCUUCGGAAGUGUUUGAAAACUGCAAGAUUUCACCCUCUCCAUCACCAAGCCAAGGGAAACAUAACCAAAAGGGUUUUCUUCCCGAUGGCGAAGGCAUGAUAGCAAAGAAUGCCAAAAGGAGGAGAGAGACUUUCCAGACUGGGAAGUGCCAAAAGGGAGAAAACUGAAAAAGAUAGGGAAAUCUGUGGACAUCCUGAGUCUUAAAUGGUCACCGUGAUUUAGGAACUUGUCCCAAAUCCACCAAAUAAAAAUAUAUGCACCCU
rnacentral:lncRNA from 1 species